GGAUGUGAAGAAUUUGAUUCUGAAGAUCUCAGUCAGGAAACAGUUGUGUCUGAAGUUUCAGUAACAAAUUCCAUAAAACUUGAGGCUUUGAAUCAAUACUUAGCCCUUUGUAAUGUUAGCCCGAUAAAGGAAUGUCAGGUCUACCUAAAACAUUCAAGUAACAGAACUAAACAGAGGUAAAUCAAUAAGGCUAAGCAGUGUCUUGAUCUUAUUCUGACAACAAUUUGUCCAGGGGAAGAGGAAUUUUUGAGAAGAUCUGUUUUGAAUGAUAUUCAACUAACUUCUGCAGAGGAAGAUAAUGCAAUUCUUGCGACACUUGUCGAAAUUUAUAAUGGAGCAAAUUCUUGGGCAUUCCAACAACAGAUUCUCUCAACAAUAGUUAAAGACAAGGACUUUUUGGCUGUCAAAGAGCAAAAGAACAUAUUCAAGAGCAUGGUGUAGGAGAACCAAUCUCAAACAGGAAAGUUUCAAGGGAAAAGUAUACCCAUAGCCAAUUAGACCACUUCAUUGACUUUAUUACAUCUGGAACAAUAAUUAAAGAUCAACCUUUUGGAGAAAAAACUUUGAAAAUGGAAACAGGAGAGGUUCUAAAGAUCGCAACUGUUAUUAGAUGUUUGGCUCCUUCCACCAUUAUCUCUCAAUACAUGGAUGUAUGCAAGGAGGAUAAUAUAAAGCCUCUUGGAAGUAGCACUCUUUUCAAGAUAUUGGAAGAAUGCUCAGCUGUGGUCAGGAAAAGCAUUGAGGGAUUAGACAAUUUUUUAAUGGAAGGGACUAAAGCCUUUGAGGAUCUUGACAAGAUACUGAAAAAACUUGAACUGUCAACUGAAGACUUGA